GGGUAUUAUCAGUAUGCUGAUGAGACCCAAUUUAUUUAUCCUUAUCAUGAUCAUCAUCAUCAUCAUCAGGAAAUGGCAUUCACUUCCUAAAUGCCUGCCUACAGGCAGUAAUGAGCUGGAUGAGGCAAAACAAAUUGAAGCUGAAUCCAAGCAAGAUAGAGGUGCUCAUUGUUGGGGAUUGGAAUUUGAGGGAUGAGUUAGAGCUUCCUGUCAUGGAUGGAGUUACACGCCUCCAAAAGGAUCAGUUUUGCAGCUUGGGAGUGCUCUUGGAUCCAGGUCUCACCCAGCUAUCCCAGGUGGAGGCUAUGAUUUCUAUCAACUUUGCCUGAUUCAACAGCUGCAUCCAUUCCUUGAAGAGAAUGAUCUCAAAACAGUGGUGCAUCAGCUGGCAACCUCCAAGCUUGACUAUUGCAAUGCACUCUCCAUGGGGCUGCCUUUGUAUGUAGUUCGGAAACUUCAGUUAGUUCAAAAUGUGGCAACCAGACUGGUCUCUGAGGUAACCCAGAGAGACCAUAUUAUGCCUGUUCUCAAAUAGUUUCACUGGCUGCCAAUAUGUUUCCGGGCAAAAUACAAAGUGCUGGUUAUCACCUUUAAAGCCCUAAAUGGCUUAGGUCCAGGUUACUUUAGAGAGCGCCUUCUUCUGUAUGAUCCCCAUUGCACAUUGAGGUCAUCCAGAGAGGUCCGUCUCCAGUUACCACUGGCAUGUCUGGUGGUGACUCAGAGCCGGGCCUUCUCUGUAGCUGCCCCUGGCUUGUGGAAUGCACUCCUGACAGAUGUCCGUAGUUGGGGCUUGUUGUUGGCCAUCAAGAGAGCCCUAAAUACUUACUUACAUUGGCCUGGCCUUCCAAGGUUUUUAAAUUGUUUUUAAGCAUUUUAAUUGGUUUUAAAUGUUUCUGAACUAUUUUAAUUUUUUAAUGUAUUGUUUUAAUUUGUUGGUUUAAAAUGGUUUUGUUUUUGUAUUUUACUUGCUGUGCAUUUCCCAGAGCCUUUCAAUGGGGUGGUAUAAAAUGUAAUCAAUAAAUAAAUUAUAAACAAAUAAAUUAACACCAAGACAAAAGAAAAUUGUUGCUCGCUAACUUCAGCCCACAUUUUAAGCAAAUAUUUUAUAAAUAAAUCACAUGAAUGGAAUUUCAGCCUUUUUAUUGACAAGUGACAUUGUUCUUGGAAUGUGCAUGAAGCAUUUUGUGCACAUUGUGGGUGGAGGCAGAAAGUAGGCACAUGGAGGGGUGCCCCUCCAUGAAUCCCCCCCACAUCUGAGUGGCACUUUGUAUUAAGUAGCUGGGCUCUCUGUUUGCCCAACUACAUCCUGCUUGGAACCAGAAGUUCCCUGUACCCAGCAGCCUUUGGGCAGCAUCAGGAAGGAAAUGGUAUCUGAGCUUGUGCAGAUGCCAUCCUGAGUUCUGUGUGUUUGGACAUAAUGGAGAGUGUCUUCUCUGCAGUCAACAAGACUGCAGAGAGGAGAGGGAACUGGCUGUGAGGGCUUCCUUCUUGACUCAAGCACAGUCCACAAAGCCAAUCAUGCCUGACUUGAGAGAGGCGCUUCCUCCCUCAAUUCUGCUUCCAGGGAACACAGCUUGCAUUCCCACAUUCAGACGUACCUCAUGCUGCAUCCAACCUUGGACUGCAGCAACGAAACUCACCAAAAAUGAGAGUUCAGAUUGGAGUUCCAAAUCUGAACCUUCAGUUUCAUUGCCAUGCCUACCUCCAAUUGCAUGUAUUCACAUGUAACACAUGCAGAACCACUGGCCCCUUCAAUUGCAGUUCUGUGUUAUGUGCGAAUGCGGCCUUUGUAAAGCACCUAGUGCAUGUGAAGUGUCUUUAUCAAUGAUGAUCUCCAUUGUUCCAAAGACCAAUGACAAUUGCUUUUAGUGAUAGUUCAUCUGAACAAUUUAAGUUCAGGAAUGGAAGCUCAAUGUGACAUUUGCAAAGUUUUCUCUUUCCUGCCUCUAGUUUAUUUCAUUGCUAAGAGUAAGAGAUUCCAGUCUGGUCUUGUUUUUGGAAAUAUGACUGAAUGUGAGACUGGGAGCCCAGGAAACCAAUGUAAGUUGUGCUGUAAAAGUUGGACUGGCAUCCUAAGCUGUGUCAGGAUGCUUGGAGUGAAUGCUUGCAGUAUUUACUAACAAUAACGGGCCAUUGUUCUUGCUCUCUUUCCAUUUUGAAUCACUACUACUAUGAAUAUUUAUAUACUGCUUUUCAACAGAAGUUCUCAAAGCAGUUUACACAGUAAAUAAAUCAAUAAGAUGGUUCCCUGUCCAAAGAUGCCUCACAAUGUAAAAAGAAUUACUUGAGGGAUGCUGUGCUGGAGAAGGAUAGAGCCAGUUGUUCUCCCUUUCUAAAUAAGAGCAUUUAUUACUUUAAGAGGAGACUCUGCUCAUUUAUCAGGGGCAUUUUGAAAUUUCAUAUCUGAAAAUGCACUUUCUAAUAAUCAUGGAACAAACAGCAUUCAGAGAAACAUUUUGUUCAAAACAACAACAUAUGAGCUACCACAAUCAUAUCUGUUUACAUAUUAAUCCCAUAUACCAAAUCUCUCUCUCUCUCUCUCUCUCUCUCUCUCUCUCUCUCUCUCUCUCUCUCUCUAACUAUGACCAUGUUACUAUAUAUGGUCAUGUUUCAGCAGAUAAAGGACCACCAUACACUGCUGCAUAUUUUGUACCUGUCAGAGUAGACAGCUUGGCAGUACCAAGCAAAGUAAUAUGUCUUUGCGCCUGGAAUCCUGAAACAUCAAGAAAAAUGUCAAAGCACAGAAUUAGUGCAUCUGGCAAGAUUCGCAGAGAUCGCACUGGUAGAAAAAAUAGAAGAUGCAAGUUAGAUGAUGAUAUGCCAAUAAAGAAGAGGAAAGGAACUCCAUCUUUGGCACCAGUGAAUCACCAGCAAGCAUCUUCCAUGAAAAGAGAAGUCAUAAAAUAAGUCACCAAUAGCCUGAGGGGAAGGCUGCAAAAUCCAGGAGCACUCCUGUCCUGUUAUAGAGCUAGACAUGUCUGUGUGUCAAUAAAUUCAUGAAAACUA